CAGCAGCCGCGGUAAUACCGGCGGCCCGAGUGGCGGUCACUAUUAUUGGGCUUAAAGCGUCCGUAGCCGGGUUGGGAAGUCCUCCGGGAAAUCUGGCCGCUUAACGGUCAGAAUGCCGGAGGAUACUCCCAGCCUAGGGAGCGGGAGAGGCCGAGGGUAUUCCCGGAGGAGGGGGGAAAUCCUAUAAUCCCGGGAGGACCACCUGUGGCGAAGGCGCUCGGCUGGAACGCGUCCGACGGUGAGGGACGAAGGCCAGGGGAGCAAACCGGAUUAGAUACCCGGGUAGUCCUGGCUGUAAACGAUGCGGACUUUGUGUCGGACAAGCUAUGAGCUUGUCCGGUGCCGGAGGGAAACCGUUAAGUCCGCCGCCUGGGGAGUACGGCCGCAAGGCUGAAACUUAAAGGAAUUGGCGGG
rnacentral:rRNA from 1 species